rfam:Thermocladium sp. ECH_B, whole genome shotgun sequence.
GCCCCGGUAGUAUAGCCUGGUCAAGUAUGCGGGCCUCUCGAGCUUUUGGGCGCAGACAGCCCGAAACCCGGGUUCAAAUCCCGGCCGGGGCA